UGAGCAAUGGAGGGACGCAGAAGGAUAGAAGAAGCGUGCGAUUGGUUGUGCACGUCCAAGCAGUUAGGCUGAUAAGUAGGCAAAUCCGCUUAUCGCAAAGGCUGAGCUGUGAUGGGGAAGCUCCUUAUGGAGCGAAGUCUUUGAUUCCCCGCUGCCAAGAAAAGCUUCUAGCGAGAUAAAAGGUGCCUGUACCGCAAACCGACACAGGUAGGCGAGGAGAGAAUCCUAAGGUGUGCGAGAGAACUCUGGUUAAGGAACUCGGCAAAAUGACCCCGUAACUUCGGGAGAAGGGGUGCUUUCUUAACGGAAAGCCGCAGUGAAUAGGCCCAAGCGACUGUUUAGCAAAAACACAGCUCUCUGCGAAGCCGUAAGGCGAAGUAUAGGGGGUGACACCUGCCCGGUGCUGGAAGGUUAAGGAGAGGGGUUAGCGUAAGCGAAGCUCUGAACUGAAGCCCCAGUAAACGGCGGCCGUAACUAUAACGGUCCUAAGGUAGCGAAAUUCCUUGUCGGGUAAGUUCCGACCCGCACGAAAGGUGUAACGAUUUGGGCACUGUCUCAACCAGAGACUCGGUGAAAUUAUAGUACCUGUGAAGAUGCAGGUUACCCGCGACAGGACGGAAAGACCCCGUGGAGCUUUACUGUAGCCUGAUAUUGAAUUUUGGUACAGUUUGUACAGGAUAGGCGGGAGCCAUUGAAACCGGAGCGCUAGCUUCGGUGGAGGCGCUGGUGGGAUACCGCCCUGACUGUAUUGAAAUUCUAACCUACGGGUCUUAUCGACCCGGGAGACAGUGUCAGGUGGGCAGUUUGACUGGGGCGGUCGCCUCCUAAAGUGUAACGGAGGCGCCCAAAGGUUCCCUCAGAAUGGUUGGAAAUCAUUCGUAGAGUGCAAAGGCAUAAGGGAGCUUGACUGCGAGACCUACAAGUCGAGCAGGGACGAAAGUCGGGCUUAGUGAUCCGGUGGUUCCGCAUGGAAGGGCCAUCGCUCAACGGAUAAAAGCUACCCCGGGGAUAACAGGCUUAUCUCCCCCAAGAGUCCACAUCGACGGGGAGGUUUGGCACCUCGAUGUCGGCUCAUCGCAUCCUGGGGCUGUAGUCGGUCCCAAGGGUUGGGCUGUUCGCCCAUUAAAGCGGUACGCGAGCUGGGUUCAGAACGUCGUGAGACAGUUCGGUCCCUAUCCGUCGUGGGCGUAGGAAAUUUGAGAGGAGCUGUCCUUAGUACGAGAGGACCGGGAUGGACGCACCGCUGGUGUACCAGUUGUUCUGCCAAGGGCAUAGCUGGGUAGCUAUGUGCGGAAGGGAUAAGUGCUGAAAGCAUCUAAGCAUGAAGCCCCCCUCAAGAUGAGAUUUCCCAUAGCGUAAGCUAGUAAGAUCCCUGAAAGAUGAUCAGGUUGAUAGGUUCGAGGUGGAAGCAUGGUGACAUGUGGAGCUGACGAAUACUAAUAGAUCGAGGACUUAACCAU
rnacentral:rRNA from 1 species